rnacentral:misc_RNA from 1 species
GCCAGAAAUUGUAAUGGAUAUACGAUAAUAUUUUAUAGAGUGAAUUUUAAUUAACAGAAAGUAUUAUUGUUUCCGUGUGUGCCAAAGAUAGCAAAUGCUAAUCUGACCCUGAGGAGCCGGUUGAAAUCUUGCAUUAAUAAAAAGCACAGAUAACGAAGCCAGUUCUGAUCGCUCACUUGCGUCAGUGAUAUAGUGAUUAGUGAUAUCACAGUUGUUCCGGAGUGUUGCUGUUAGCAAGACGUUACAUUAUAACAGCAUGGCUGACUUCUUCAAUAUAAAAUUUCGAGUAAUGGAGGAGGCGUUGGCGAACAAUGGGACGUCAUCGGAUGUGUAUCCGCUGCAGGAAAAGCGCGACCCUCUCUACAUCGUGGUGCCCAUCACCAUCGUCUACACGGUCAUCUUCUUCUCGGGGGUGACCGGAAACGUGGUGACCUGCGUGGUGAUUGCACGCAACAAGCACAUGCACACCGCCACCAACUACUAUCUCUUCAGUCUGGCCAUCUCCGACCUGCUCCUGCUCGUGUCCGGACUGCCUCAAGAGAUGUACUCAAUCUGGUCUAAGUACCCUUACGUGUUCGGUGAGGUGUUCUGUGUGCUGCGUGGCCUUGCUGCUGAAACCUCUGCUAACGCAACUGUGCUGACCAUCACCGCCUUCACCGUGGAGAGAUACGUCGCCAUCUGUCACCCGUUCUUCGCCCACACCCUCAGCAAGCUGUCGCGGGCUGUGCGCCUCAUCCUGGUCAUCUGGGCUGUCGCGCUUGGCUUCGCCAUUCCACAGGCCCUCCAGUUCGGUGUGACAGAUGGUUCGCGUCCAGAUCAAAUCCAAUGCCAAGUGGUGAAAAUCAUCGUGAAGCACUCCUUCGAAAUCUCGACGUUCCUGUUUUUCGCGCUUCCCAUGACUGUGAUCACAGUGCUGUACGCACUGAUUGGACUACGACUGCGGCGAUCCGCCUUGCUCAAGAAGUCCUCAGGUUCCUUCAGCCACCACCAGGAGGCCAGUAGGAGCGCCUGCAGAUCUACAUCCUCCAAGAGGGUCCUCAAGAUGCUAGUGGCAGUGGUGGUUGCCUUCUUCAUCUGUUGGGCGCCAUUCCACGCCCAACGACUAGUAGCUAUCUACGGUGUUCACUGGAACGAGCCCGUGUCCCCCUUGGCCAUACAGGUCUACACUGUGGUCACCUACUUUUCGGGCAUUCUCUAUUACGUGUCCACCACCGUCAACCCCAUCCUCUAUCACAUCAUGUCACUCAAAUUCCGGGAGGCAUUCAAGGUCCUGUUGUGUUGUCCUGAUAGGACAGCUUGUCCCGGUGCUGCUGUCCCAAGGACCGACGACGAAGUUACGCCGUGCUCUCCCGUCGGCAGAGGUCGCUCGUUGUGCUCGGUUCCAAGAGCGUGACAGACUCAGGACCUUCUCACUCCCACUCGGACACUCGCGAACGAGCAGACGUCGUUGUAAGGCGACAGACGUCAGAAAGCAGCUGCAUGAUAUCAGACUCGAUGGAGACAAGACUCGGAGCCGAGGACAAGCGCCCCCUAGCUAACCACAAGCACAACAUCAGCAACUCCAGUCUCAGAGCAGCAGACUGUGAG